UGGGUUGAUAUCCUUUCCGAUAAUAGGGAGGAAUUGAUUGAAACCCUAGCUAUAUAACCUAGGAGCAGUCCCUGCUUCCAUACCGAUAGAAACUCACGGAAACUAUAAGCCUAUUUCGAUAGUAGAGUUCAUUGAGAGGUACUGGAAGUAGAAGACUACUUCUACUUUGUUCGUAAGGAUCAAUGGCUUCACCUUCAUAACCAUGUCUUCCGAAUUCUACAGAUAAGUUCAAUAUAAUUAGUCGAUCUCUAUUUCAUAUUGAUUUGAUUUAUUCGUGAUCCUAAUGUCUUGUUGUUGUGAUUUCAGAAUAUGUCUUACAUGUGGUAUCAGAGCCACACAACAAGCUUAGGGUUCGGAUUAAAGGUAAUUAUUUGAUUACAAAAUAUUGUUUUGGUUGGCUGAUUUCUAUCAUUCUAUCCUAUGAAAUCAGUUAACAUGCUUCCACGAUUCUGAAUUCUGUAUCAAUUAAAUUUUCGUAAGUUUAUUAUGUUUAUAUUUUACGGAAAAAUAAAAGUAUAUAUUUAUAUAUAUAUAUAUAUAUAAUCAAAGUCACUAUUGUUCUAGUACUUCACCGUUAAAAGAAAACUUCUUUUCGAAUUGCAAUAUGAAAUGGUUUCUUUUCGAAUUGCAUGAAUUUUGUAAACUAAGUGCAGGUUUUGAUGGCGUUUGACCAAACCUAAUGUUGGAUGAUAUUUGGAUUUAUUAUAUAAUCCUCUUAUUAUCGAUUUAGUUGCGAUAAUUCGAUUUCAUUAUUAUUAAAAAUUAAAAAAAAAAAAAAAAGGUGAGAUAGGCCGUUGAAACAGUACGGGGUCUUCUCCCUUGCGUGUGAAGUCUUUAGCUCUCUUGCAAAACAGCUCAAUAGCGGCUUUUGGAUCUAUUUGGUGUUUUCCGGUAAGAAUUCUCUCCGGAAAGGUAUGAAAUCGUACAAUUUAAUCUACCUAAUUUGGUUGAGUUAAAAUUAAGCUUUUGGUUUCAACUAAAUUGAUCAAGAUAUUGUUGAUUCUGGGCAAUCAACCUUUAUUUUCUUAUUUAUUUUUCCAUCUCAAAAUUGAUUAAGUUGAGAAUUUAUGCUUCCGCUUAUUACGUUGCAAAAUCUAGCUUUAAAAAAAAAAAAAAAAAAAAGUUUGCUUGUAUUUUGGGCUGUUCUCUGUUACGAUUAUGUCAAAUUAUUAAAUUAACCCUUUCAGAUGUGAGUUUUCUGGAUGAAUAUUGUAUUGGAUUUCAUGCUUUCAUGAUUUAAAAUUUGGAUUUAGCCUUGUUAAUUAACAUGUUCUAAAAGGCAUUCCCAAUUUGUUUGUUUUCUGAUGAACCGAUAAUGGUGAAACUAUUUGGCAACUUACGUAUAUAUGAACAAAUUAUUGUAUUAUGAAGGAUUGCUUGCUGUCAUAAUUUUGAUGUGUGGUUAAUUACAUUAUUAUGAAUUGCUUUCAGACGGUUCGUAUUAGGUUUUCAAUUUUUUAAUAAAUUGAUUCAAUUGUGGUGUGAAUUAUUUAUUGCCUAAACUUUUGUCAAAAUUAAUCGUGCUACAUUAUAGUGGUAUGACUCCAUUAAAGUCUCAUUAAAGGGAAACCCAUUCAUUUCAAUAACCUGGGCUUGAUAGACUUCCAUAACUCCAAAUAUUAUGAAAUUCGGUCAUUUCGUAAUAUUAAAUGGAUUGUAGACACUGGUAUUUUUUCAAGUUUUCUGGACAAGAAAUGGAUUUAUGGUAAAUUUUUAAGUGUGAUACUAUGUUGCUGGAAUUCUGCAGACUUCUGCAGAAUAGUCUGUUUGUGAUAUUAUUUUGAUAUAUCAAUGUAACUCAUAAAUUCUUGAGAUUUUAGUAUGAUAUACAUUGAGAUGUUUAUUUGAAGUAUGGAAAUUUUCACCAGCAUUGGUCUGAAAAUGAGUUACUGGUGAAUUUUUAAUCUUGGGACUGUACUGCAGAUUUACUCAGCUUCUGCAGCACAUUUCAUUUCGAUUUUAAUUUUAGCCCACUUUUAAGAUUGCAAAAAGAAUGGAACUUUGGGUGACAGUAAAUUUAUAUGUCUACUUCAUUUCUAAAAAAUUUCAUGCAUAUUGGAGAAAAAUUAAAUUUUUGGUGAAUUAUUUAGUCUCCGGUAUGUGCUGCAGAAUUUUUGCCGUUUCUGCAGCAUAUUCCAUUUAUAAUUUUCUUUUAGUACACUUGUAAAGUCUCAAAAAUUAUGAAAUUUUGGGAAAUAAAAACCUUUUAUGUUUACUUUAUGUCUCAAAAGUUUGAUGCAUAUCGGAUGAACAAUGAAUAUUUAGUGAAUUUGUAAUCUCAGGUAUGUACUGAACAUUUUCUGCUGUUUCUGCAGCACCUCUCUUUUCAAAUUCAUUUUUGGCUCGCUUAUAAGAUUUUAAAAAUCAUGAAAUUUUGGAAAAUAGUAGUCAUAUAUGUCUAGUUCAUACUUGAAAAUUUUCAUGACAAUCUAAAGAGAAUUGAGUUUUUAGUGAAUUUGCAAACUAAAGUAGUACUGCUGAAUUUUGGUACUUCAAACUAGUUUUGUUAUGUGAUAUUGUUUAACUGAUUUGUGUACAUCUAUUGGUACCAAUUAUUGUACAAGUUUAUGGUUCCAAUAUGUCCUUAUUAUAUGCAAAUUCUCAAUACUAAUGAAUUUUAUAUAGACAACAUUGAUUGAAUUUUGAUUUAAAGAUGUAUUGGUUUGUUUUGCUUAAACCAAUGUUUUGUUUGGUCAUCAAUUCUGAUUAUGAUGAUUGUCUUUUGAGAGAAAAUUGGAAAGUGGCAUCAGUUUACUAAUUGAUCAUUUUGGUCGCUAUCGAAUAACUGAAUAACCAUGUUUUCUCUUUCCAGAACUCUAUUGUUCAAUGGCAAUAACGACAUACUUUUGUGUCUGAUUGAAUCUUUUGAGAAUCAUUGAAUAUCCAACUAAACGGUUAUUUAAUACUAUUCUAAAGGAUUAUUUUGAAAAGAAAAAAAAAUCAGAAUUCUAAUUUAUAUGGUGAAUACUUUUGUCCCAAUGGGAAUUUUAGGAAAUCACUCACCAAUUAUAAAUUAGUAUUAUAGCAAAUCAUAAAGUCCUUCUAACGUAUUUUCAUGGCCAAAGCUGUUGAAGCUAUAUGUAUUUUGUGUAUUUUAUGUUUUGGCUAGCUAUGCAGGUAUUUUCUUUGCAUGAUGAGUUUCUGCCCAAAGGUGUAACAAUCAUGCAAUUUGAAGUUGGUUCGAUCCACCACAACUCGACUACUUCCAUGAUGAAUCUUGCAGAAUCAAGAAUGAGUAGGUAAAUUUGUCAAUCUUUUGCCUUAAUUUUCUGUGAGUUCUAAAUUGGAUUAAAAUUAUUGUUAAAAUUUGAUGUUGUUGAGAUAUCUAUGUGUUUACUUUAAUUCUACUUUGUUUUAGAAUUAAAACAUAAAUUUUGAGUUUGGAUUCUCUUAUUAGGUUUCAUUUUAAUUUUUGAUCUAAUAUUUAACACAUAUGUGGGUCUUCUCUCAUACACUAAAAUAAAUUUUGUAGCCAUUGGUUGAUAUAAUCACUUGUCACUUUUAGAUCGAUUAAUGGUGUUGAGAUAUUGUUCCUUAUAUAAUCCUAAUUUUGAUACAUAUAGAUUGGUUUAUUAUGUCCAAACCAACUAUUUUGUGACUCAACAAUUUAUUUAAGAAAUUUUUGUGUUUUGAGCAUAUUAAAGAUUGGAAAUUGGUUUUAUUUAAAUUAUGAUUAAAUUUGAAAUUUUGGUGGAGCUUGGGAAAUACUAAUGGAGUUUUGCAUACCUUGCAACGUGUCCUAUUUGAUUACAAUUUUGAUAGUUUUUCUAACUCCAAACUUUGUAAAAAUUUGCCAUGUUAUAUUAUAUAAUGGAUUGUGUACUCUAUCUUUAUUGAUUCAACUAGCCUAUAUUUUGUUAUAUGAAAACCACUUUCUCUAGUGUUUAAUCUUGCAAUUUUGAGUGUUUGCCCAAGUGGGAGAAAUAAUGUAUUAUGGGCUUCACACUCAUCAAUUUUGCAUGUUUUUAAUGAUCAUAGUUUUGGUAGAUAAAACUUACAUUAUCAUACUUGUUUAUAUUUUAUUUGUUACAUAUGCAACUAAUCUUGUAGGAAAUUCAAGAAGGGUUAAUGAGUAUAUUCUGCUCAAAGGUGUUUUACUUAUUAAUUCUUAUAUGUUGUUCAAGAAAUUGGACUUGUGAUUUAUAUGUUAUUGAUGAAUAAUUAAUCUGCUCAAAAGUGUUUUCUUAUUCAGUACAAAUAUAAAUCAAUGUAUAGUGAAACAUGAAAUUGACAAGAUUGCAUAUACUUCAUCUGCUCAAAAGUGUUGAAGCUAUAUACGUUUGCCCUUGUAUUUUGUGUUUUAGCUAUGCAAACCUAAUAUAAUUAGUUUCUGUCCAAAGAUGAUUCUGGAAUUAUAUGCUUUUGAUGCAAUAAGAAAACAUUCAGUUAAAGUUUUCUAUUUCUGUCAAUUGUUAGAUGAACAAAACUGACCAAAUAAUUUUGUAUAGUUUUUCAGUCAUGAGAAUCAUUUCCCUACAGAUAUCUAAAAUAAAGAUGUUGAGCUCACAAAUUUAUGUUCUAGAUCCCAUGACUAAUGUUUUGCUAAUGGGAGUAUGUGAAAGGUAUCUGUUUCGUUUUGUAGACAUUUAUAAAGUUUUUUUUCUUUUACUCUUUUAAUCAGUGGGAGUAAUAUAAUUUUGUCUCUUUUAAUCAGUGGGAGUAAAGAUUACCUUUUGUAUUGAAAAUUUGAAGUCUUAGUGGCUGAUACUUUAAGAGUAAAUUUGGUUUAAAAUUUGUUCAUAAGUUUUAAUAAGGGAUCCUGAUUUUGUAAACAGUAUGUCGUAUUUUACUUGUUCUCUUAUUAUAUUCUAAAUUGACAGAAAAGUUGGAUUUUGUUACCAACGUUGUUGAGUUCUUUUGUGAACUACUUUUGUACUGAAAUAUAUUUUUCAUAUUUUCAGUUCGACUAUUGUGAGCUAAUGUUUUGACUAUUAGCUCUUGAUAUCAUGACUUUGUUAGUAACAUAGUGCUUUGAGUUGAGUGUGCAUGUAAUCAUGGAGUGCAAGGAACUGUCCAAUGUGUGCCUUGUUUUCCUUGGUUUUGCACUUAGUCUCAAAGUGACAAGUUACUUGAAAGGUAUGAUUGCAUACUUUAGUGGACUCAAGUGAUCACCAUAUAUAUUUAUCUCGUUAAGGUAUUCUCAUUGACAUUCAAGUGGGAGAAUGUAAAACCAUUUUGUGAAUGACAAUGAUUAUGCCGAGAAUAAUUGAGGGAAUAUUGACUUGGCAAUCAAGUUAAUGAAAUCUCUAGGACUCUCGGUGCCUUAAGGAAAUAAACAUAUUGGAGUCCUA
rnacentral:lncRNA from 1 species